AGUCAGAUGAUCGAAUCUUUAAAGGAUCAAUCCAAGAAAGAUAGAGACAAAUUGACAACGAUAAUAGCACAAAACAAGGAUGUUUUAAAGGCAGCACUAAUUUUCAAUAACAGAAGCAAGGAACUUUUCAAAACUAAAAACGAUGAAAAAAAGAGACAGGCUUUGAAGAACUUAACCGAUGAAAUUGUAAAACUUAAAAUCGAGGCUAUUCCUGAGUUUCCAACCGUGAAGUACGAGGCUAAAUCUUCAACAGACAACGACAUCAGACAAUUGUUUGGAUCAUUUAAGAUAAGAGCAACAAGACAGCAUACACAACCCAUAGAGCAAGGUAGAUACCUUUAUAGAUGUAAAAAAUGUCGGAAGGAGAAAAGAUCAGAUGUGUGA